UGUCAUGGUCAUAACAAUCUAAAGAAAGUUA
rnacentral:piRNA from 1 species